GCGUGCGCGGGUCACGUGAGGGCGCGGCGCGGCAGCAGCUGCGGCGGCCGAGACGGGGGCGGCGGCCGCGCGGGUCUGGCGGGACCGGUUUGGAAGAAUUUGCCGCCCUGCAGAUUGGCCUUAAGAGAAGGACGGAGCCACAUACUGCUGACGGCCCAGAACUGGCAGACAGAAGGUUGCCAUGGCUGCUGUUGACAGUUUCUACCUCUUGUACAGGGAAAUCGCCAGGUCUUGCAAUUGCUAUAUGGAAGCUCUAGCUUUGGUUGGAGCCUGGUAUACGGCCAGAAAAAGCAUCACUGUCAUCUGUGACUUUUACAGCCUGAUCAGGCUGCAUUUUAUCCCCCGCCUGGGGAGCAGAGCAGACUUGAUCAAGCAGUAUGGAAGAUGGGCCGUUGUCAGCGGUAACCUACUUUAUAAUCAAAAUAAUCUUUUCUGUGAAGUCGGAUGCAUUAUUCAAGGAGCUCUUGAAUUUAAUGUGGUGUUUUUAUGGGAACAUGCUGAUAAAAAAAUAAAACUUAUGGCUCCUGCCGUGAUUAUGUUCA
rnacentral:sRNA from 1 species